rnacentral:rRNA from 1 species
GACGAACGCUGGCGGCGUGCUUAACACAUGCAAGUCGAACGGUGAAGCGCCUUCCUUUUUGGUGGGUGUGGAUGAGUGGCGAACGGGUGAGUAACACGUGAGUAACCUGCCCCCUUCUUCUGGAUAACCGCAUGAAAGUGUGGCUAAUACGGGAUAUUCUGGGUCUGUCGCAUGAUGGGUCUGGGAAAGAUAUUGUUUCGGUGGGGGAUGGGCUCGCGGCCUAUCAGCUUGUUGGUGGGGUGAUGGCCUACCAAGGCGGUGACGGGUAGCCGGCCUGAGAGGGGGACGGGUCAAACGGGGAUGGGGACACGGCCCGGAUUCUACGGGGAGCAAGAGGGGGGGAUAAUGGACAAUGGGGGGAAGGCUGGUGGAAGGGCGGCGGGGGGGGGAAGGGGGCCUUCGGGUUGUGAACCUCUUUCGCCAGUGAAGCAGGCCUGCCUCGUUUGUGGGUGGGUUGACGGUAGCUGGAUAAGAAGCGCCGGCUAACUACGUG